rnacentral:rRNA from 1 species
AGAAUCAACGCUGGCGGCGUGCCUAACACAUGCAAGUCGAACGAGAAAGUGGAGCAAUCCAUGAGUAAAGUGGCGACCGGGUGAGUAACACGUGACUAACCUACCUUUCAGUGGGGAAUAACCUCGGGAAACCGGGGCUAAUACCGCAUAAUGUCUUCGGACCAAAGGAGCAAUUCGCUGAAAGAGGGGGUCGCGGCCGAUUAGCUAGUUGGCGGGGUAACGGCCCACCAAGGCGAAGAUCGGUAUCC